ensembl:lncRNA novel transcript
UCGGUAGCUUCCGAGGCUCUGCGGGAGAAUCCGUUUCCUGGCCGUAGAGGUGGCCUGCACUCCGCAGCUUGUGCUGCCCGUCUCGAAUGACUGGAGUUUCCUGCUUCUGUCACUACACCUCCCACCCUCUCCAUCACCUGCUCUGCUCUUACAAGGAUCCGAAGAAAUGGAAUCAUCGUAUCGCUGAUCUACGUAAACAAACUGAAGAAUUGUCUGAAAGAAAAUAUGGUAUGUCUAAACUGGAAAAGUCUUGUAAUCUUAGGUUCAUGGGCGUUUACACAGUGGAGUUACUGUUCAUCAUGGGGGUACCGUGGACAAUCCCAGGGCUGCCGGCGAGUCAUGCCAUCCUUACAUGUUUCUCCUUGUAAGACAUGAACUUAUGAAUUCAACAGGUGAAGAUUUACAACUUGAUAAAUCAACUUUGUCAGGUACGUCUUCAGUCAAGUCAGAUUAGAAGAUUAUGUGAGGUAAUUAACACUUAACAUUGAUUUAAUGGUAGCUUCCACAUGAAAUAGUAUGCCUCUAAGUAUUAAUUAUGUCCUAGGACAGGAGAAUUCAUGUUGUCAAAAUUCUCAUACUCUCUAGAACAAUAAACUCAUUUUCUUUUUAUUAGUAAAUAUUGCAUUUAUGGGUAGACAAAACUGAAAGAACAAUAUUUGUUCUACUUUUGAGAUGCAAGAUUCAUCUGGCAUAAUGCAUUGAACAGGUUAUUAUUGAAGUCUACACCAGUCAACUGAAUAAGCAUUCAUCAAAUGUCCAUGAUAUGCAGGACAUAAGUUUUCUUUUAGAGUAUGGAACCAUGCAUAUUAUCUUUUAAUUAG